UGGACUCAAAGGUCAACCAGAGAAUCAGUUUCUCUAUCUUUUUGUCUGUGAAUCUUUUAAGGUUAACAUUAUACCUGUACUUCUUCAUCUUUAGGAGUACUCCUAGGAAGAGCUUAGCUGUUUAAGUCCUGUGCACAAAUGUCCUAUCACAACCACCACCAUUACCUUUGAAAAGUGAGUUUUCUUCAGGUUCUCCAUCUUUUUGCCUGUGAGUCCCUUAAAGUUAACAUGAUUUCUUCAUUUGUGGGUGCUAGGAUUAUUCCAGUGAAGAGCUGUGUAAUCUCCAUUUCUGGAUAAAUUUCAUUUUGAAAAGAUCACUGUUCUUUCAGAAAGGAAGAGACCAGAGGAUGACACAGAAUAAGCAGCUUGGUUACUUUGACAGGUCUGGAUUAUUCCCAGGAAGAGAUAAGGAGUCUUCUUCCUGUGGACAAAUAUCAUUUUGACUAGCUCACUGUUUCUUUUCAAAGGAUUAUUCCCAGAAACAGCUGAGCAACCUUCCCCUUAUGGACAAAUUUCAUUUUGACAAGCUCACUCUUUCUUUUCAAAGGUCAGAGAGCUGAGAAGUGAGGUCACAUGACUUGGCCUUCCUGACAUGACUGAUGGAGAUACCUGGAAGAUGUGAGAAGUGACCCUCUGGUUCACAAAUGUCCUGCUGCAACUAUCCCUCUUCCCUCUGAUAUGUAAGUCUCUUAGAUUCCUUUAUCUUUUGCCAAAGAUGGUUGAUGGUUGCCCUUGGGGUUGACAUUGGACCUUGCCUGAGGGAUCUGCUUUAAUGUGAUGCACAUAUAUCUAUUCUUCUGUCCACUCCAGGUAUGCCAGAUGUUUUUCUUUCUGUUCAGGAUUAAUCACAAUAACAACAGCAACAAAAACAGCCAUAAUAAUAACUUCACCUACCAAAUCAGAAACAAGGACAGCAAAUAUUGAAGGAGUACAGUAUGUGUAUAUUAUCUCCUUUGAGCCAACGACAGACCUCUGAUUCCAAUGCUCUUGGUGGUCCAAUUGUCGGAGGAAUUAAAUGAUGCUAAGUGACAGACUUGGGCUUUUUAUAUUUCUGUUUUAAUAUUUCAUUUUCCUUCAUCCUACACGCAUUCAAAGAUGGCAAAGAAAUACACAUUGCUAGCAGAAAAAGUUCCUGCAGGCUCAGUUCAGACUCUGGGGCCUCCCCCAGAUGUCACUUUGGCCUUUCUUUUGACUCUAAGUACCUUAAGGUUAACCUUAUUUCUCUCUUAAUUGGUUCUAGAAUUAUUCUCAGUAAGAGCUGAGUCUUUCUCCUGUGGACUAGUUUCAUUUUGACAAGCUCACUGUUUCUUUUCAAAGGUCAGAGAGCUGAGGAUGAGUGAUGUCAUGUCACUUGGCCCUCAUAACAUGUCUGGUGUGCCAGGACUGUUCCUUUCUGUUCAAGAUUAAUCACAAGGACAACAGUAAUGAAAACCACAAUGAUCUCUUCAACUACAAAGACAGAAACAACUACAACAAAUAUCAUUUAUGGAGUACAGUGUGUGUAUGUUAUCUCCUCUGACCCAGCAGCAGACUUCUGAUUUUGAUGCUCUUUGUAGUCCAAUUGGCAGAAGAAUUAAGUGAUACUAAGACAUGAAAUGGGACUUUGCCAGGAUGACAUAUCUCAUAGGUGACUUAGGUGGGAUACCUGGUUGGGCUUUCCUACUUCCAUGUCCAAGUCUCUAAGACUUUUUGCUAUUGACCAUCAUUUUUCCUCCUGUGGUUCAUUUUGUUCUUGGUUUUUGAAAAAAAUUAUUAUUUAAUUUAGACUUGUUUUUAAAAAAGUUUUUGCUCUGAAUUCUCUCUGUUACUUUUUCCCUAUCUGAAUGGGAUGUCCCAGUGAAGACUCCUCAGUGUAAUUAAGGUUUGGGAUAAGGCUGAGUGGGAUGAGG